AUCUAAACUACAGCACAGGGCAGGAAUAGAGCCUGCCUUACACACUCGCCAAGAGGGGUUAGGAGUGUCUUGUUUUCUCCCCAUGAAAAAGCUCUUCUUAAAAUUAUUAUACCUUGCAGAAAAAGAAGGAAAAAGACAUGAAAUUCCUGCAUCAUUAUGAUGGUAGCCCUGUGUAACUAUGAAGGAAUAACUCAAAAAUUCGUGGUGGAGAGGCCCAUGUAUUUCUGCUUUCUCUCCAGAGGACAGGAUGGACUGUGUGGCAACACAUUGUCAGUCAUCAAAAAGAUCACAGGCUGGGCAAAGCAAUAUUAUCAGCAACAUCACUAUGGACAAUCAAGACAUAGACCCCAGUCAUCCAUUUGACUCACGUCCUGCGCAGAAUACCAUGAUUAAACACUUGUGUAUUUUAGGGGUGUUCCAAAUGAUGGAUGGUAUGGUGCUGACUGUGCUGUGGGCAGUAGUUAUUGCCAAUUCAUCUCGCUACAAACUUUCUAUCAUACAAAUACAUCCGAUACUGCCCUACCUAUAUCUUUUGGUACCACUCAUUUAUGUCACAGCAGGAAUUCUGAACAUUGUGGCUGCAAAUAGACAGAAUCCCAAAUUGAUUACGGCCUUUAGAGUGUUCAAAUUUGUUACGUUUCAGGCUUCCCUGAUAUUCUCCAUAAUGCAUGGUGUAGAUACAUUUGAAGUUGCAGGGAGAAGGGGUGUAUUUCCUGUAGAUGUCCUAUCUUUUUUCCUCUCGUGGUUUCAGUUGAUCUUCCUGCUUUCCUGUUUGGCUCCCUCUAUCGCACGGAUAAAAACCAUGUGCUGGCAGAUGAUCUACUUAUGGUGAAUUGAGGUUGAACUCUCCCUUCCUGCACAAGACCAAGACUGACAUGUAUGGCAGUCCCACUCCAUGAAGUGAUUUGAGAGAGUGCCUUCAUGUGCUUUUCUUGGUCUUUUUUGCCAUUGCAUCAUCCAGGAAAUUCUUAUUUACAUAAUAAAUAGGAGCUGAAGUCUUCUAAGGAAAAUAACUGUCACUGAAUUGCUGAUAUUGACUUUUCUAUGGUUUGUACUCUAACCCCAAUGUGAAUACCUUUGAGGAUGGGUACAGAACUGAUGUGGGUACAUACCCUUGUUACCUAAACCAGAAACAUAUCCAGAAGGCUGUCAGUAUUGCAACCUGAUUUCUGAAAAUACUCAGACUAUAUCCUUACAUCCCAUGGCUCAUUGUGGU
ensembl:lincRNA uncharacterized LOC106147021